rnacentral:rRNA from 1 species
AGUAUUUUGACUAUACAAAGGUAUUGAAAUAAGACUUUAAUUGAGUGCUAAGAGAAGGGAAUUACAGAAAAAAACUGUCUAAGUUUAAUAAUUGAAGUUAUUUUUAUUUGUGAAGAAACAAUAAUUAAAAUUAAGGACAAGAAGACCCUAAGAAUUUUAAAAAAUGUUUUUUUUAAUUAAAAAAAACAUUUUUUUAGUUGGGGCGAUUAAUUAAUAUUUAAAACUUUUUUAAACAAAAAAACGAACCACUAUUAGUGGUCAUUUAAUUAAAAUACUCUAGGGAUAACAGCGUAAUAAUUUUAGAUAGUUCAUAUUGACAAAAUAGUUUGCGACCUCGAUGUUGGAUUAGGAUAUUUCUUUAAUGAAGAAGUUAAAAAAAAAAGUUUGUUCAACUUAUAAUUUCCUA